GUAAUAACAAUAAUCGUUAUGAGAACAAUUUUAGUAAAUACAUAUUGGUGGUGGCAUUCCGUACAACUCAAAAGGUCGUAAGGAAAGCAGUCCUCGUGUAUAUACUAAUAGAGAUAUAAUUAAAAGGUCUGUC
rnacentral:ncRNA from 1 species